UUAGAGUAAUGCGUGACCAACCUGCCCCAUGCUCCAGAAUAGCUCUUGGAAACGGGUGGUAAUGCUGGAUGCUCCAACUUGACGCAUGUCUUGUUGGGAAAGUGUUUAGUGGCAUGGGAUGGGGUCGCGUCCUAUCAGCUUGUAGGCGGGGUAAUGGCCCACCUAGGCUUCGACGGGUAGCCGGCCUGAGAGGGCGGACGGCCACAUUGGGACUGAGAUACGGCCCAGACUCCUACGGGAGGCAGCAGAA
rnacentral:rRNA from 1 species